rnacentral:rRNA from 1 species
CGACUUGGAGGUUGUGCCCUUGAGGCGUGGCUUCCGGAGCUAACGCGUUAAGUCGACCGCCUGGGGAGUACGGCCGCAAGGUUAAAACUCAAAUGAAUUGACGGGGGCCCGCACAAGCGGUGGAGCAUGUGGUUUAAUUCGAUGCAACGCGAAGAACCUUACCUGGCCUUGACAUCCAGAGAACUUAGCAGAGAUGCUUUGGUGCCUUCGGGAACUCUGAGACAGGUGCUGCAUGGCUGUCGUCAGCUCGUGUUGUGAAAUGUUGGGUUAAGUCCCGCAACGAGCGCAACCCUUAUCCUUUGUUGCCAGCGAUUCGGCCGGGAACUCAAAGGAGACUGCCGGUGAUAAACCGGAGGAAGGUGGGGAUGACGUCAAGUCAUCAUGGCCCUUACGGCCAGGGCUACACACGUGCUACAAUGGCGCAUACAAAGAGAAGCGACCUCGCGAGAGCAAGCGGACCUCAUAAAGUGCGUCGUAGUCCGGAUUGGAGUCUGCAACUCGACUCCAUGAAGUCGGAAUCGCUAGUAAUCGUAGAUCAGAAUGCUACGGUGAAUACGUUCCCGGGCCUUGUACACACCGCCCGUCACACCAUGGGAGUGGGUUGCAAAAGAAGUAGGUAGCUUAACCUUCGGGAGGGCGCUUACCACUUUGUGAUUCAUGACUGGGGUGAAGUCGUAACAAGGUAAC